AUUUCAUACAUUUCUGGAUGCAUAAACAGACAAACAUAUGUAUAGAAUUUGUACAAAUGCACUAUUGAAGCUACUGGAGUCAAUACGCCUUGGAUUUUGGAAAUUGUGGGUUGUCAAAGAAGAUUCAAGCGGCCAAUCGUCUAGAGCUAGUGCUUCCUCGGUUAACUUUGCGACGAACGAAACAUUUGAACAAAUAUCACAGAUGUUUCAAUCUCAAGUUUGUAUCUCUGCAGAAGAAGAUUUACAUAUUGCAGUGACCGUGAAGGUGUGCAAGGAAUCAUUGAAGUGAAUUGAGAAGGGAAGGGGUCGACCUUAUUAGUAGCUAUUAGUAGAAGUAGUAGUUAUUACAUAAUCUUUUGUAUGAGGUCGAAUUAUUUUGAGCGAAGGCACGUAAACUAUGUUUGUAAAUUCUCCUAAUUUAUGAAAUGCUAUAUUUCAACUCUUAUUUUGAAUGUCAUUGUUACUUGUAAAUUACCUUUUAGAUUAUCUAUUUGUACUUGGCUUCAUUUAUUUACGAC
rnacentral:lncRNA from 1 species